rnacentral:rRNA from 1 species
UGGGGAAUAUUGGGCAAUGGAGGAAACUCUUACCCAGCAAUGCCGCGUGAGUGAUGAAGGUCUUAUGGAUUGUAAAGCUCUUUGAUUAGGGACGAAUAAAUGACGGUACCUAAAGAACAAGCCCCGGCUAACUAUGUGCCAGCAGCCGCGGUAAUACAUAGGGGGCGAGCGUUGUCCGGAAUGACUGGGCGUAAAGGGUGUGUAGGCGGUUUGGUAAGUUAGAAGUGUAAUACCCAGGGCUUAACUCGGGUGCUGCUUCUAAUACUGCCGGACUUGAGUGUAGGAGAGGACAAUGGAAUUCCCAGUGUAGCGGUGGAAUGCAUAGAUAUUGGGAGGAACACCAGAGGCGAAAGCGAUUGUCUGGACUACAACUGACGCUGAGGCACGAAAGCGUGGGGAGCAAACAGG